rnacentral:rRNA from 1 species
CGUAGGUGCAAGGCGUAGUCCGGAUUGAUUGGUGCGUAAAGAGCUCGUAGGCGGUCUGUCGCGUCUGCUGUGAAAACUCGGGCUUAACCCCGGGCUGCAGUGGGUACGGGCAGACUAGAGUGCGGUAGGGGAGACUGGAAUCCUGGUGUAGCGGUGAAAUGCGCAGAUAUCAGGAGGAACACCGGUGGCGAAGGCGGGUCUCUGGGCCGUAACUGACGCUGAGGAGCGAAAGCAUGGGGAGCGAACAGG